rnacentral:rRNA from 1 species
CAAUAGCGUAUACUAAUGUUGUUGCAGUUAAAAGCUCGUAGUCGGAUUUCAGUUUGUUUACAUUUAACCUUUUGGUUUUAUGUGAUUACUUUAUGCAAGAAACUUUCAUAUUAUUUAUUUGAUAUGUUUGGGAUCUUGCUCAUUUACUUUGAGAAAAUUAGAGAUGUUCAAAGCAGGAUAUUUGCCUUGAAUAUUACUCUGGAAUAAUAAUAUAGGACUUCAGUUCUAGUUUGUUGGUGAUCUGGAACCGGAGUAAUGAUUGAUAGGGACAGUUGGGGUCAUUCAUACUGCAAAGCGAGAGGUGGAAUUCUUGGACCUUUGUAUGAUGAACAACUGCGAAAGCAUUUGACUAGGAUGUUCCCGUUGAUCAAGAACGAAAGUUGGGGGAUCGAAGACGAUUAGAUACCA